UACGAAGGGGGCUAGCGUUGCUCGGAAUUACUGGGCGUAAAGGGAGCGUAGGCGGAUAGUUUAGUCAGAGGUGAAAUCCCAGGGCUCAACCCUGGAACUGCCUUUGAUACUGGCUAUCUUGAGUAUGGGAGAGGUGUGUGGAACUCCGAGUGUAGAGGUGAAAUUCGUAGAUAUUCGGAAGAACACCAGUGGCGAAGGCGACACACUGGCCCAUUACUGACGCUGAGGCUCGAAAGCGUGGGGAGCGAACAGG
rnacentral:rRNA from 1 species